rnacentral:rRNA from 1 species
AUUGAACGCUGGCGGCAUGCUUUACACAUGCAAGUCGAACGGUAACAGGUUAAGCUGACGAGUGGCGAACGGGUGAGUAAUGCAUCGGAACGUGCCCGGUCGUGGGGGAUAACGCAGCGAAAGUUGCGCUAAUACCGCAUACGAUCUGAGGAUGAAAGCGGGGGACCGUAAGGCCUCGCGCGAUUGGAGCGGCCGAUAUCAGAUUAGCUAGUUGGUGGGGUAAAGGCCUACCAAGGCGACGAUCUGUAGCUGGUCUGAGAGGACGACCAGCCACACUGGAACUGAGACACGGUCCAGACUCCUACGGGAGGCAGCAGUGGGGAAUUUUGGACAAUGGGCGCAAGCCUGAUCCAGCAAUGCCGCGUGCAGGACGAAGGCCUUCGGGUUGUAAACUGCUUUUGUACGGAGCGAAAAGGUCUUCUCUAAUACAGGGGGCUGAUGACGGUGCCGUAAGAAUAAGCACCGGCUAACUACGUGCCAGCCGCCGCCGUAA